CCUACGUGAGGCAGCAGUGGGGAAUAUUGUGCAAUGGGCGAAAGCCUGACGCAGCGACGCCGCGUGAGGGAUGAAGGUCUUCGGAUCGUAAACCUCUGUCAGCAGGGAAGAACGGUCACUGUGCUAAUCAGCAGUGAAUUGACGGUACCUGCAAAGGAAGCACCGGCUAACUCCGUGCCAGCAGCCGCGGUAAUACGGAGGGUGCGAGCGUUAAUCGGAAUUACUGGGCGUAAAGCGCUCGUAGGCGGUAUGUCAAGUCAAGGGUGAAAUCCCCGCGCUCAACGUGGGAACUGCCUUUGAAACUGGCAAACUGGAGUGUGUGAGAGGAUAGUGGAAUUCCAGGUGUAGGAGUGAAAUCCGUAGAUAUCUGGAGGAACAUCAGUGGCGAAGGCGACUAUCUGGCACAUAACUGACGCUGAGGAGCGAAAGCGUGGGUAGCAAACAGGAUUAGAUACCCUGGUAGUC
rnacentral:rRNA from 1 species